UUUGGCUUAUGAAAGCUUUCACAGAACGCUCUACUUUCGGAGACUGGGGGAAGCUGCAGUUAGAAUAAUGCCAGGUAUUUCCUGAAGCACAUUCUCCUCAGAAACCUUACAGCAAGGAAGGUGCUGCCAGCAGAAGAGGAUGUGGGCAUUUCUCGGUGCUGCCUGAGAUACCAUCUUGGUCGUAAAAGCCUCCAACCUGCAACCCCCACAACAGCAGACUCUGCAAUUGUUUCUUCUUGGUUCCCUGUGCUCAGAAACAAACACAUGUCUGCAACCUCUUCUGCAAGGCUCUUGGA